UACAGAGGGUGCGAGCGUUAAUCGGAGUUACUGGGCGUAAAGGGCGCGUAGGUGGUUAUAUGAGUGUGAUGUGAAAGCCCCGGGCUUAACCUGGGAAGUGCAUCGCAAACGAUAUAACUGGAGUACAAGAGAGGGUGGCGGAAUUUCCGGUGUAGCGGUGAAAUGCGUAGAGAUCGGAAGGAACGUCGAUGGCGAAGGCAGCCACCUGGCUUGAUACUGACACUAAGGCGCGAAAGCGUGGGUAGCGAACAGG
rnacentral:rRNA from 1 species